rnacentral:snRNA from 1 species
GCCCCCUCGGGGGCAUUUGGUCAAACAAUUUGUAACAAUACAGAGAAGAUUAGCAUGGCCCCUGCAUAAGGUUGACACGCUAUACAAAGAGAUUGAUGAAGUUAAU